GACGAGAAGCUUGCUUCUCUGAUGUUAGCGGCGGACGGGUGAGUAACACGUGGAUAACCUACCUAUAAGACUGGGAUAACUUCGGGAAACCGGAGCUAAUACCGGAUAAUAUUUUGAACCGCAUGGUUCAAAAGUGAAAGACGGUCUUGCUGUCACUUAUAGAUGGAUCCGCGCUGCAUUAGCUAGUUGGUAAGGUAACGGCUUACCAAGGCAACGAUGCAUAGCCGACCUGAGAGGGUGAUCGGCCACACUGGAACUGAGACACGGUCCAGACUCCUACGGGAGGCAGCAGUAGGGAAUCUUCCGCAAUGGGCGAAAGCCUGACGGAGCAACGCCGCGUGAGUGAUGAAGGUCUUCGGAUCGUAAAACUCUGUUAUUAGGGAAGAACAUAUGUGUAAGUAACUGUGCACAUCUUGACGGUACCUAAUCAGAAAGCCACGGCUAACUACGUGCCAGCAGCCGCGGUAAUACGUAGGUGGCAAGCGUUAUCCGGAAUUAUUGGGCGUAAAGCGCGCGUAGGCGGUUUUUUAAGUCUGAUGUGAAAGCCCACGGCUCAACCGUGGAGGGUCAUUGGAAACUGGAAAACUUGAGUGCAGAAGAGGAAAGUGGAAUUCCAUGUGUAGCGGUGAAAUGCGCAGAGAUAUGGAGGAACACCAGUGGCGAAGGCGACUUUCUGGUCUGUAACUGACGCUGAUGUGCGAAAGCGUGGGGAUCAAACAGGAUUAGAUACCCUGGUAGUCCACGCCGUAAACGAUGAGUGCUAAGUGUUAGGGGGUUUCCGCCCCUUAGUGCUGCAGCUAACGCAUUAAGCACUCCGCC
rnacentral:rRNA from 1 species